rnacentral:sRNA from 1 species
UUUUCUACAUGUACUGCUGUCUUCGAAGACUGGCUUUCAGCAGUCAGAAAAGCUCAGAAAUCAAAGAAGCCAGUCUAAUCCAGGAGUUAGUCACAAUUUGGAUUGUUACAGUGCAGCUGGACAAGUGUGGAGUUCUGUCACCUCUAGACUUCGUGUCCAGAGCAUUUCUCUAUGGUUGUCUGGCAGCUUUUAAGUUAAUGUUCUGUACAAUCUUUGUGUGUAGAUCAACCGCCACUGCAUCAAUUUAUACAUGCUCAAGAACACAUGCAUAAGGAUGUUGGCGAACAGAUCCGAGAUACGUCAUUCGUUAUUAUAGUUUGUUGUUUUUGGACGUUAAAGGUUUAUUUUGUUGUUUUUUUAAGUGGUAUUUUCUUUACAGUAUUUGCCAAAUAUUAAUAUUGAUUUAAUUAACAGGCACUUGUAAUCGUUUUCCUAGUGGUGGGCAAUGCCAAGAAAUCUCAUCAUAGUUAUGUGUUGCUUCACGCACCAUCUAGUUCAUCUUAUUCAGAAACAAAUUAAACCAAACUAAAUUUGGAGAGAAGGAGAGAUGAGUAGGAAGGAAAGAAAACAGAUUCACAUGAACUCAUUUAACAGAAGAAAGAUUUUACAUAGAAGUAAGGAGAACAAAUUACUUCGAAAAGAAUGGAACCCCCAAUUUUUGAAACAAGGUCGGAAGUGUACUGUUUUGGGUAGCACUGUUUGUCCUGGUGCGAGUAAACCCGGAACACCUGGAUCUGCUUACAGUAAAAGGCCGCGUCAUUUUAGUUAAAUGAAUAUAGAAUGAUGUAUGUAAAAAUCUUCAGAAUGUAUGUAAACAUGGUUAUAUACUGGCAAAAGUAUAAGCAUACAGUUGUAUAUAUUCUAUUUUCCAUACGUUUUACUAAAUUUUGCUCAUAAAUGGUGGAUAACGCCUUAUAAUAC